rnacentral:misc_RNA from 1 species
CUACGGAGUACAUAAGAUUAUUAAAAUAAUAAUCAUAUCACCAUGAACUUUUUAAGUUCAUUUAACAGUUACAAAAAAAGAUUUAUGAAAAUUUAUAUCCAGUUUUGAGAGUUCUAUCUCUCUUAUAGUUCUUUGAAAACUGAAUAGAAAAGACAUUUGUAAAUAUUAAUAUUUCAAACGUUUUGAUCAACCAAUAUAGAAUACAAAAUCAUAUCUAAUUCUUAAUUUUAAAUUAGGACAAUAGGUCAUA